rnacentral:tRNA from 1 species
GGAGGAGUACCCAAGUGGUUCAAGGGGGCAGUUUGCUAAACUGUUAGGCUGGAGUAAUCCGGCGCGAGAGUUCGAAUCUCUCCUCCUCCG